rnacentral:rRNA from 1 species
GAUGAACGCUGGCGGCGUGCCUAAUACAUGCAAGUCGAGCGAACAGAUAAGGAGCUUGCUCCUUUGAAGUUAGCGGCGGACGGGUGAGUAACACGUGGGUAACCUACCUAUAAGACUGGGAUAACUUCGGGAAACCGGAGCUAAUACCGGAUAACAUUUAGAACCGCAUGGUUCUAAAGUGAAAGAUGGUUUUGCUAUCACUUAUAGAUGGACCCGCGCCGUAUUAGCUAGUUGGUAAGGUAACGGCUUACCAAGGCGACGAUACGUAGCCGACCUGAGAGGGUGAUCGGCCACACUGGAACUGAGACACGGUCCAGACUCCUACGGGAGGCAGCAGUAGGGAAUCUUCCGCAAUGGGCGAAAGCCUGACGGAGCAACGCCGCGUGAGUGAUGAAGGGUUUCGGCUCGUAAAACUCUGUUAUUAGGGAAGAACAAAUGUGUAAGUAACUGUGCACAUCUUGACGGUACCUAAUCAGAAAGCCACGGCUAACUACGUGCCAGCAGCCGCGGUAAUACGUAGGUGGCAAGCGUUAUCCGGAAUUAUUGGGCGUAAAGCGCGCGUAGGCGGUUUCUUAAGUCUGAUGUGAAAGCCCACGGCUCAACCGUGGAGGGUCAUUGGAAACUGGGAAACUUGAGUGCAGAAGAGGAAAGUGGAAUUCCAUGUGUAGCGGUGAAAUGCGCAGAGAUAUGGAGGAACACCAGUGGCGAAGGCGACUUUCUGGUCUGUAACUGACGCUGAUGUGCGAAAGCGUGGGGAUCAAACAGGAUUAGAUACCCUGGUAGUCCACGGCGGUAAACGAUGAGUGCUAAGUGUUAGGGGGUUUCCGCCCCUUAGUGCUGCAGCUAACGCAUUAAGCACUCCGCCUGGGGAGUACGACCGCAAGGUUGAAACUUCAAAGGAAUUGACGGGGACCCGCACAAGCGGUGGAGCAUGUGGUUUAAUUUGAAGCAACGCGAAGAACCUUACCAAAUCUUGACAUCCUUUGAAAACUCUAGAGAUAGAGCCUUCCCCUUCGGGGGACAAAGUGACAGGUGGUGCAUGGUUGUCGUCAGCUCGUGUCGUGAGAUGUUGGGUUAAGUCCCGCAACGAGCGCAACCCUUAAGCUUAGUUGCCAUCAUUAAGUUGGGCACUCUAGGUUGACUGCCGGUGACAAACCGGAGGAAGGUGGGGAUGACGUCAAAUCAUCAUGCCCCUUAUGAUUUGGGCUACACACGUGCUACAAUGGACAAUACAAAGGGCAGCUAAACCGCGAGGUCAUGCAAAUCCCAUAAAGUUGUUCUCAGUUCGGAUUGUCGUCUGCAACUCGACUACAUGAAGCUGGAAUCGCUAGUAAUCGUAGAUCAGCAUGCUACGGUGAAUACGUUCCCGGGUCU